rnacentral:rRNA from 1 species
GACGAACGCUGGCGGCGUGCCUAAUACAUGCAAGUAGAACGCUGAAGAGAGGAGCUUGCUCUUCUUGGAUGAGUUGCGCACGGGUGAGUAACGCGUAGGUAACCUGCCUUGUAGCGGGGGAUAACUAUUGGAAACGAUAGCUAAUACCGCAUAACAAUGGAUGACACAUGUCAUUUAUUUGAAAGGGGCAAUUGCUCCACUACAAGAUGGACCUGCGUUGUAUUAGCUAGUAGGUGAGGUAAUGGCUCACCUAGGCGACGAUACAUAGCCGACCUGAGAGGGUGAUCGGCCACACUGGGACUGAGACACGGCCCAGACUACUACGGGAGGCAGCAGUAGGGAAUCUUCGGCAAUGGGGGCAACCCUGACCGAGCAACGCCGCGUGAGUGAAGAAGGUUGUCGGAUCGUAAAGCUCCGUUGUAAGUCAAGAACGGGUGUGAGAGUGGAAAGUUCACACUGUGACGGUAGCUUACCAGAAAGGGACGGCUAACUACGUG